AGCUGUCUGUGAGGGUGUGGGGGAGGCGCCAUUUUGGGCCCGCAGCAGUAGGAAGCGCCAGGGAUUUGAUUGUACGCGGCGCGGGGGUCGGAGCGGCAGGUCCCCAGUACUAGGCCGCGAAGUUGGGGCCCUGCCCCGCCCCCUCCACCAGCAGCCUGCGAGCCCUGAGAGGGAGGCGGGGGCCGGAGGCCCGCGAUGGAGGCGGAGUACUACGGCGGGGACCAGUCAGAUGAUGGUGGAGCCACCCCAGUACAAGAUGAGCGAGAUUCAGGGUCUGACGUUGAAGAUGAUGUAAAUGAUCAGCAUUCUGGAUCAGACAAUGAAAGCUUAGGGCAUCAUUCAGAGAAUGAACAAAGUGAUGGGGAAGAUGAUGGCGAAACUAGAGGCCAUCACAUGACAGACUCUGAAAAUGAAGACACCCCAAGGCAAAAAGAUAGUGAUUCUGAAAAUGAGGACCCUCCAAAUCACAAUGCCAGUGAUUCAGAAAAUGAAGGGGCUCAUGGGGACAAAGACAGUGAUUCUGAUAUUGAGGACCAUCCAAUUCAUCAUAUAAGUGACUCUGAAAAUGAGGAUGCCUUAAAUCACCAUGCAAGUGACUCUGAAAAUGAAGAACCUCAAAAAAUUCACAAUAGCGAUUCUGAAAAUGAGGAUCCCCAUAAGAAUCUGAAUAGUGAGUCAGAAAAUGAGGAUCAUCAAAAAGGUCAUGCUAGUGACUCUGAAAAUGAGGAACCCCCAAAACAUACAGCUAGUGACUCUGAAAAUGAGGAGCCCUUGAAACAUACAGCUAGUGACUCUGAAAAUGAGGAGCUCUCGAAACAUGCAGCCAGCGAUUCUGAAAAUGAGGAGCCCCCGAAACAUGCAGCCAGCGAUUCUGAAAAUGAGGAGCCCCCGACACAUGCAGCCAGCGAUUCCGAAAAUGAGGAGCCCCCGACACAUGCAGCCAGCGAUUCCGAAAAUGAGGAGCCCCCGACACAUGCAGCCAGCGAUUCCGAAAAUGAGGAGCCCCCGACACAUGCAGCCAGCGAUUCCGAAAAUGAGGAGCCCCCGACACAUGCAGCCAGUGACUCUGAAAAUGAGGAGCCCCAAAAAGUUCAUGCUAGUGACUCUGAGAACGAAGAGCCUCAGAAACAUCCUGCAAGUGACUCUGAGAUUGAAGAUGUUCCCAGACGCAAACAAAAAAUAGAGUCUGAUGACAGUGACGGGAAUGGGAAAGAGGCAAUGCAGAAUGACUCUCGGCGUUCAGAUAGCGAGCAGGCAGGAGAAGGAUUUCAUGCAUCUGACAGUGAGGGGGAAGGUCCUAAGAGACGGAAAAUAACAGACAGCGAUGGAGAUGAGGAGAGAGAUGAGGACAAGGGAGUCAAGAGGAAAGCAGCAGUCUUUUCUGACAGCGAGGAUGAGGAGAAAACACAAGCUGCAAAGAAAGGACGCAUCAUCUCAGAUGUGGAAGACUCUGAUAGCGAUGCAUCAGAGAAAUCUGAUAAAAGAAAAAAGAAUGCUGUAGCAUCAGAUAGUGAAGAAGAGGAGGAGAGCAAGGACAGCGCUGGAAAGAAAAAAGAAGAGAAGGAUCUUUUUGGGAGUGAUAGUGAAUCAGGAAAUGAACAAGAGAACCUGAUUGCAGAUAUAUUUGGUGAAUCUGGUGAUGAAGAGGAGGAGGAAUUUACAGGUUUUAACCAGGAGGAUUUGGAAGAAGAGAAAGCCGAGGCAGAGAUGAAAGAGACAGCAGAUGAUUCAGACUCUGAUGACAACAUCAAAAGAGGGAAACAUAUGGACUUCAUGUCGGAUUUUGAGAUGAUGCUACAAAGAAAGAAGAGCAUGAGUGGCAAGCGCAGACGAAACCGUGAUGGUGGGACAUUUAUUAGUGAUGCAGAUGAUGUAGUCAGUGCUAUGAUUGUUAAAAUGAAUGAAGCUGCAGAGGAAGAUAGACAGCUGAAUACACAGAAGAAACCAGCACUAAAAAAGUUAACUUUGCUACCAACUGUAGUUAUGCACCUUAAAAAACAGGAUCUUAAGGAAACUUUCAUUGACAGUGGUGUGAUGUCGGCCAUCAAAGAGUGGCUUUCCCCUCUUCCAGAUCGGAGUCUACCAGCACUAAAGAUACGUGAGGAGCUCUUGAAGAUCCUGCAAGAGCUGCCUAGUGUGAGCCAAGAGACCCUGAAGCACAGUGGAAUUGGGCGAGCUGUGAUGUACCUCUACAAGCACCCCAAGGAGUCAAGACCCAACAAGGACAUGGCAGGGAAGCUAAUCAAUGAAUGGUCUCGACCCAUCUUUGGCCUUACCUCAAACUACAAAGGAAUGACAAGGGAGGAAAGGGAGCAGAGGGAUUUGGAACAGAUGCCUCAGCGAAGGCGAUUGAGCAGUUCUGGCGGUCAGACCCCUCGCAGAGACCUGGAGAAGGUGUUAACAGGAGAAGAAAAAGCUCUUAGACCUGGUGAUCCUGGAUUUUGUGCUCGUGCAAGGGUUCCAAUGCCCUCCAACAAGGAUUAUGUGGUCAGACCCAAGUGGAAUGUAGAAAUGGAAUCUUCCAGGUUACAUUUCCCAGUAUUCUCCAGUCUUGUUGGUGCCUAUUACAGUGAUCUGUAGAAUCACCAAUUAUCACCAAGUGUGGUCAUGUCCUCACAUCAGCCACCACCAGGAAACCUGCAGUUUAUGAAGCUGUGAUGAAAUGUACUUCUGGCACUAGAUCAGCUUUUCUCAAAUGCGGUCACCAGGGGCUUUUCUUGCGGCCACAGUCUCCUGGGUGGUGGGUGAUGGGGGGCAAAGCAGCAGCCUCUCCCCCAGGGUCGCCAGCAGGGAUUGGUCCCUGCCCCCUUCUGGAGCCAGGUGACCAGUUACCAAGGCACCUCUAAGAAAGGGGUAAGUCGACUGGACAAACAGAUGCGGAAGUUCACAGAUAUCAGGAAAAAAAGCAGAUCAGCCCACGCAGUGAAAAUCAGUAUUGAAGGCAAUAAGAUGCCAUUGUGACCCUUCACAGA